rnacentral:rRNA from 1 species
GCUUGUCUCAAAGAUUAAGCCAUGCAUGUCUAAGUAUGAACAUUUAUACUGUGAAACUGCGUACGGCUCAUUAAACCAGUUAUAGUUUAUUUGAUAUUCCCCUACUACUCGGAUACCCGUAGUAAUUCUAGAGCUAAUACGUGCGUCAAACGGCAUAUGUCGUGUCAUUAUUAGAUAGAAACCAAUGCGCUUCGGCGGUAUUGUGGUGAGUCAUGAUAAUUUAGCGGAUCGCAUGGCCUCGCGCCGGCGAUGGAUCAUUCAAGUUUCUGCCCUAUCAGCUUUGGAUGGUAGGGUAUUGGCCUACCAUGGCUUUAACGGGUAACGGAGAAUUAGGGUUCGAUUCCGGAGAGGGAGCCUGAGAGACGGCUACCACAACCAAGGAAGGCAGCAGG